UGAGGAAUAUUGCACAAUGGGGGAAACCCUGAUGCAGCAACGCCGCGUGCGGGACGAAGGCCUUCGGGUCGUAAACCGCUUUUCUGGGGAAAGAGCAAGGACGGUACCUCAGGAAUAAGUCUCGGCUAACUACGUGCCAGCAGCCGCGGUAAAACGUAGGAGGCGAGCGUUAUCCGGAUUUACUGGGCGUAAAGCGCACGCAGGCGGCUCUGUGAGUCGGACGUGAAAGCUCCCGGCUUAACCGGGAGAGGCCGUUCGAUACUGCGGGGCUUGAGGUAGGGAGAGGAAUGCGGAAUUCCCGGUGUAGUGGUGGAAUGCGUAGAUAUCGGGAGGAACACCUGUGGCGAAAGCGGCAUUCUGGCCCUCACCUGACGCUGAGGUGCGAAAGCGUGGGUAGCAAACAG
rnacentral:rRNA from 1 species